UCAGAAGUGCGAAUGCUGACAUAAGUAACGAUAAAGCGGGUGAAAAGCCCGCUCGCCGGAAGACCAAGGGUUCCUGUCCAACGUUAAUCGGGGCAGGGUGAGUCGACCCCUAAGGCGAGGCCGAAAGGCGUAGUCGAUGGGAAACAGGUUAAUAUUCCUGUACUUGGUGUUACUGCGAAGGGGGGACGGAGAAGGCUAUGUUGGCCGGGCGACGGUUGUCCCGGUUUAAGCGUGUAGGCUGGUUUUCCAGGCAAAUCCGGAAAAUCAAGGCUGAGGCGUGAUGACGAGGCACUACGGUGCUGAAGCAACAAAUGCCCUGCUUCCAGGAAAAGCCUCUAAGCAUCAGGUAACAUCAAAUCGUACCCCAAACCGACACAGGUGGUCAGGUAGAGAAUACCAAGGCGCUUGAGAGAACUCGGGUGAAGGAACUAGGCAAAAUGGUGCCGUAACUUCGGGAGAAGGCACGCUGAUAUGUAGGUGAAGUCCCUCGCGGAUGGAGCUGAAAUCAGUCGAAGAUACCAGCUGGCUGCAACUGUUUAUUAAAAACACAGCACUGUGCAAACACGAAAGUGGACGUAUACGGUGUGACGCCUGCCCGGUGCCGGAAGGUUAAUUGAUGGGGUUAGCGCAAGCGAAGCUCUUGAUCGAAGCCCCGGUAAACGGCGGCCGUAACUAUAACGGUCCUAAGGUAGCGAAAUUCCUUGUCGGGUAAGUUCCGACCUGCACGAAUGGCGUAAUGAUGGCCAGGCUGUCUCCACCCGAGACUCAGUGAAAUUGAACUCGCUGUGAAGAUGCAGUGUACCCGCGGCAAGACGGAAAGACCCCGUGAACCUUUACUAUAGCUUGACACUGAACAUUGAGCCUUGAUGUGUAGGAUAGGUGGGAGGCUUUGAAGUGUGGACGCCAGUCUGCAUGGAGCCGACCUUGAAAUACCACCCUUUAAUGUUUGAUGUUCUAACGUGGACCCGUGAUCCGGGUUGCGGACAGUGUCUGGUGGGUAGUUUGACUGGGGCGGUCUCCUCCUAAAGAGUAACGGAGGAGCACGAAGGUUGGCUAAUCCUGGUCGGACAUCAGGAGGUUAGUGCAAUGGCAUAAGCCAGCUUGACUGCGAGCGUGACGGCGCGAGCAGGUGCGAAAGCAGGUCAUAGUGAUCCGGUGGUUCUGAAUGGAAGGGCCAUCGCUCAACGGAUAAAAGGUACUCCGGGGAUAACAGGCUGAUACCGCCCAAGAGUUCAUAUCGACGGCGGUGUUUGGCACCUCGAUGUCGGCUCAUCACAUCCUGGGGCUGAAGUAGGUCCCAAGGGUAUGGCUGUUCGCCAUUUAAAGUGGUACGCGAGCUGGGUUUAGAACGUCGUGAGACAGUUCGGUCCCUAUCUGCCGUGGGCGCUGGAGAACUGAGGGGGGCUGCUCCUAGUACGAGAGGACCGGAGUGGACGCAUCACUGGUGUUCGGGUUGUCAUGCCAAUGGCACUGCCCGGUAGCUAAAUGCGGAAGAGAUAAGUGCUGAAAGCAUCUAAGCACGAAACUUGCCCCGAGAUGAGUUCUCCCUGACCCUUUAAGGG
rnacentral:rRNA from 1 species